UUGAAAGGUUGGCACAGGUGAGCCUCAUGAAAUUCAACAAGGGCAAGUGCAAAGUGCUGCACCUGGGUUGGAGCAAGCUCAAGCACCAGUGCAAGCAAGCAAGCAAGGGAUUUAGCACUGUGUGCUCUAGCACUGAUGUGAUCUAGCACUGUGUGCCUGCUGUCCAGAAAGUCAGGAGUAUCUUGGGUGACAUUGAGGCUGUUUGCAGGCAGAAGGAAGCUGAUGGCCUGCAGUUUGUCCCUGGCCUCAGUUGGAUCUGCUGCAGGGAAAGACCAGCUGCAGCCCACAGUGGCCAGGAGCAACCAGAAGAAUUUCACAGCUCCCAGAUCACAGCUCGGCACUACAGCGUGGCUGACUGCUGCAACACCUUUUCCUGAAAUGGAAUGCUCGAACUCUUCUGCUGGAGAGCACCAGAAUGAUUCUUCAGAAUUCCACCCGAGAGCACCAAGAAUUUCGAUCCUUUCACCAUUUUAUCCAGGAACAAAGUUUAAAUCUAAUAGAAGCUCCAUCUCUGUCCAUUAGAACAAACCAAGACGACCAUAGGGGAACUUUCCAGCCGGUCCCCUUGCUCUGCUCUUAGCUUUACAAGCUCUUCAACCUCAGCUCAAUCCUAGGAGAGAAGAAAUGGAUAAGGUGGGUGUCAGAGCCUUCCUGAGGCUGCUCUGCCUCAGGGGCCAAGCCAUCUCCUGAUGGGAUGCAGGACCAGAGACAGCAAAGGAGCACACGCUUCUGCUUCACCCCAGUGCUGUAGAGUGGCAGAGUCAGAGCCAGCCUGUUCCUUCACAUCUCAUCCCUGUGUGGCUGGCAGUCACAAUAGGCAGCAACACCAUCAAAAUCAGGGAUCCCCACGGGGACUAAGGAUUUGUGCUUGCCUGGGACUAGGCUGUAGGGAGCAUGUCUCCAAUUACAGCAGCAUUGCUACUAGGCUGAAGCCCCAUUGAACGUUGCUACUUUGCAGAAGGAUGCCUUGCACUGCAGAGUGGCUGGGAAGGGUUGUCAGAGCAGGGCUGAGGUGUAUGGAUAUUAAAAGGAAAUGUGAAAGAUAGGCAAGGACAGCAGCCUGCAAGGAAUAACCUUUUGUUGGCACUGGACUCCUGCACACAAAGGUGUUGCAAAUGGUGAGCUGAGAAGCUUGGAUUUGGACAGGGCAUUAAGAAUGGCUUCUGAAUGCCCCAUAGGGACUAGAGUGUUAUCUCACACCUUUUACACCAGUACAACCACACUGGUCAUGAGAGAUUUGGGGGUCACUUGCUGCUACUGGCACAGUAGGAGAAUUGCUGCUGAGGGAAGCCACCCCUAGGGAAGGCAACUGAGAGGGCCAGGAUAGGUUUGGUGUCCUGACAUCUGCUGUCUUGGACACCUGCCAUGCCCAGGACUGGCCCUGCUUCCUUUGACUGCAGGGAGGAGUGACACGAUCAAGUCCAGAUGCUAGUAUGGUGAUGUGAGAGGUCUGGG
ensembl:lncRNA